rnacentral:rRNA from 1 species
AUGAACGCUGGCGGCGUGCCUAAUACAUGCAGGUCGAGCGAACGGACGAGAAGCUUGCUUCUCUGAUGUUAGCGGCGGACGGGUGAGUAACACGUGGAUAACCUACCUAUAAGACUGGGAUAACUUCGGGAAACCGGAGCUAAUACCGGAUGAUAUUUUGAACCGCAUGGUUCAAAAGUGAAAGACGGUCUUGCUGUCACUUAUAGAUGGAUCCGCGCUGCAUUAGCUAGUUGGUAAGGUAACGGCUUACCAAGGCAACGAUGCAUAGCCGACCUGAGAGGGUGAUCGGCCACACUGGAACUGAGACACGGUCCAAACUCCUACGGGAGGCAGCAGUAGGGAAUCUUCCGCAAUGGGCGAAAGCCUGACGGAGCAACGCCGCGUGAGUGAUGAAGGUCUUCGGAUCGUAAAACUCUGUUAUUAGGGAAGAACAUAUGUGUAAGUAACUGUGCACAUCUUGACGGUACCUAAUCAGAAAGCCACGGCUAACUACGUG